AAAGGCCUCAUCGGAGGCAAAAAUUAAGGAGGGACGCGGCGGCGCCGCUGGGUUUCAGUCGUGUUUUCCGGCUGUUUGGCCGGGAGUUUGGCUCUGAUUUGGCCACAGGGGAACUCAACAUUGAAAAAUGAGCUGGGGGUAUGAAAUUUACCUUGAUCAGCGGUCGGAAAACUCCCCAGUGCGGCGACGGGUGGCGGCGGCCGGCUCCUCCGGUGUCUGGUUCGUCUUCUCCGACGAGAGCUGGCGGCUAGGGUUUUUGUGGUUAGGUGUGGGGGGUUUAUUUAUACCCUUUGCCUUUUAAUCAC
rnacentral:lncRNA from 1 species